GACGAACGCUGGCGGCGUGCCUAAUACAUGCAAGUAGAACGCUGAAGGAGGAGCUUGCUUCUCUGGAUGAGUUGCGAACGGGUGAGUAACGCGUAGGUAACCUGCCUGGUAGCGGGGGAUAACUAUUGGAAACGAUAGCUAAUACCGCAUAAUAGUAGAUGUUGCAUGACAUUUGCUUAAAAGGUGCAAUUGCAUCACUACCAGAUGGACCUGCGUUGUAUUAGCUAGUUGGUGGGGUAACGGCUCACCAAGGCGACGAUACAUAGCCGACCUGAGAGGGUGAUCGGCCACACUGGGACUGAGACACGGCCCAGACUCCUACGGGAGGCAGCAGGAGGGAAUCUUCGGCAAUGGACGGAAGUCUGACCGAGCAACGCCGCGGGAGUGAAGAAGGGUGUCGGAUCGUAAAGCUCUGUUGUAAGAGAAGAACGAGUGUGAGAGUGGAAAGUUCACACUGUGACGGUAUCUGACCAGAAAGGGACGGCUAACUACGUG
rnacentral:rRNA from 1 species